UGCCAUCUUUGCAGUGGGGCUAGCUUAUAGACGCCCACAGGAAACACUUAAAUGUCCGUCGUUUGUCUCUUAACAGUGGGGGCAUGGCCAGACGACUCCUGAUCUCAUAACCACUGCAGCAGACUGUAUUGGUUAUGGUACUUAGACUGUCACCCUCCACAUGCCCCAAAAUAAGUAUUUGAAAAACAUAGAAUUUUCAUGAAAUAUCCAUAUUGACUGUGUUGGAAUUUUGCAGCCAAGAGAUAUACAGAGACAAAGUGGGGACCAAUUUUUCUCAAUAGUUUUCCUUCACCUGACACUUAUUGACACUGGGCGGAGCUACUGCCAUCAAGACGUGUUGGCUGCAGGGAGACUGGCUCUGUCUAUCAAGGUUACCGCAAGACCGCGGGAUCUCAUGUGCGAGAGUACAGCAG